GGGUUGUGAGGUUAAGCGACUAAGCGUACACGGUGGAUGCCCUGGCAGUCAGAGGCGAUGAAGGACGUGCUAAUCUGCGAAAAGCGUCGGUAAGGUGAUAUGAACCGUUAUAACCGGCGAUGUCCGAAUGGGGAAACCCAGUGCAAUUCGUUGCACUAUCGUUAACUGAAUACAUAGGUUAACGAGGCGAACCGGGGGAACUGAAACAUCUAAGUACCCCGAGGAAAAGAAAUCAACCGAGAUUCCCCCAGUAGCGGCGAGCGAACGGGGAGCAGCCCAGAGUCUGAAUCAGCUUGUGUGUUAGUGGAACGGUCUGGAAAGUCCGACGGUACAGGGUGAUAGUCCCGUACACCAAAAUGCACAGGCUGUGAACUCGAAGAGUAGGGCGGGACACGUGGUAUCCUGUCUGAAUAUGGGGGACCAUCCUCCAAGGCUAAAUACUCCUGACUGACCGAUAGUGAACCAGUACCGUGAGGGAAAGGCGAAAAGAACCCCGGCGAGGGGAGUGAAAAAGAACCUGAAACCGUGUACGUACAAGCAGUGGGAGCACCUUCGGGUGUGACUGCGUACCUUUUGUAUAAUGGGUCAGCGACUUAUAUUCUGUAGCAAGGUUAACCGUAUAGGGGAGCCGCAGGGAAACCGAGUCUUAACUGGGCGUUAAGUUGCAGGGUAUAGACCCGAAACCCGGUGAUCUAGCCAUGGGCAGGUUGAAGGUUGGGUAACACUAACUGGAGGACCGAACCGACUAAUGUUGAAAAAUUAGCGGAUGACUUGUGGCUGGGGGUGAAAGGCCAAUCAAACCGGGAGAUAGCUGGUUCUCCCCGAAAGCUAUUUAGGUAGCGCCUCGUGAACUCAUCUUCGGGGGUAGAGCACUGUUUCGGCUAGGGGGUCAUCCCGACUUACCAACCCGAUGCAAACUACGAAUACCGAAGAAUGUUAUCACGGGAGACACACGGCGGGUGCUAACGUCCGUCGUGAAGAGGGAAACAACCCAGACCGCCAGCUAAGGUCCCAAAGUCAUGGUUAAGUGGGAAACGAUGUGGGAAGGCACAGACAGCCAGGAUGUUGGCUUAGAAGCAGCCAUCAUUUAAAGAAAGCGUAAUAGCUCACUGGUCGAGUCGGCCUGCGCGGAAGAUGUAACGGGGCUAAACCAUGCACCGAAGCUGCGGCAGCGACACUAUGUGUUGUUGGGUAGGGGAGCGUUCUGUAAGCCUGCGAAGGUGUGCUGUGAGGCAUGCUGGAGGUAUCAGAAGUGCGAAUGCUGACAUAAGUAACGAUAAAGCGGGUGAAAAGCCCGCUCGCCGGAAGACCAAGGGUUCCUGUCCAACGUUAAUCGGGGCAGGGUGAGUCGACCCCUAAGGCGAGGCCGAAAGGCGUAGUCGAUGGGAAACAGGUUAAUAUUCCUGUACUUGGUGUUACUGCGAAGGGGGGACGGAGAAGGCUAUGUUAGCCGGGCGACGGUUGUCCCGGUUUAAGCAUGUAGGCUGAUUGUCCAGGCAAAUCCGGAUAAUCAAGGCUGAGGUGUGAUGACGAGGCACUACGGUGCUGAAGUAACAAAUGCCCUGCUUCCAGGAAAAGCCUCUAAGCAUCAGGUAACAUCAAAUCGUACCCCAAACCGACACAGGUGGUCAGGUAGAGAAUACCAAGGCGCUUGAGAGAACUCGGGUGAAGGAACUAGGCAAAAUGGUGCCGUAACUUCGGGAGAAGGCACGCUGGUGUGUAGGUGAAGUCCCUGCGGAUGGAGCUGAGACCAGUCGAAGAUACCAGCUGGCUGCAACUGUUUAUUAAAAACACAGCACUGUGCAAACACGAAAGUGGACGUAUACGGUGUGACGCCUGCCCGGUGCCGGAAGGUUAAUUGAUGGGGUUAUCCGUAAGGAGAAGCUCUUGAUCGAAGCCCCGGUAAACGGCGGCCGUAACUAUAACGGUCCUAAGGUAGCGAAAUUCCUUGUCGGGUAAGUUCCGACCUGCACGAAUGGCGUAAUGAUGGCCAGGCUGUCUCCACCCGAGACUCAGUGAAAUUGAACUCGCUGUGAAGAUGCAGUGUACCCGCGGCAAGACGGAAAGACCCCGUGAACCUUUACUAUAGCUUGACACUGAACAUUGAGCCUUGAUGUGUAGGAUAGGUGGGAGGCUUUGAAGCGUGGACGCCAGUCUGCGUGGAGCCAACCUUGAAAUACCACCCUUUAAUGUUUGAUGUUCUAACGUUGGCCCCUGACCGGGGUUGCGGACAGUGUCUGGUGGGUAGUUUGACUGGGGCGGUCUCCUCCCAAAGCGUAACGGAGGAGCACGAAGGUUAGCUAAUCCUGGUCGGACAUCAGGAGGUUAGUGCAAUGGCAUAAGCUAGCUUGACUGCGAGCGUGACGGCGCGAGCAGGUGCGAAAGCAGGUCAUAGUGAUCCGGUGGUUCUGAAUGGAAGGGCCAUCGCUCAACGGAUAAAAGGUACUCCGGGGAUAACAGGCUGAUACCGCCCAAGAGUUCAUAUCGACGGCGGUGUUUGGCACCUCGAUGUCGGCUCAUCACAUCCUGGGGCUGAAGUAGGUCCCAAGGGUAUGGCUGUUCGCCAUUUAAAGUGGUACGCGAGCUGGGUUUAGAACGUCGUGAGACAGUUCGGUCCCUAUCUGCCGUGGGCGCUGGAGAAUUGAGGGGGGCUGCUCCUAGUACGAGAGGACCGGAGUGGACGCAUCACUGGUGUUCGGGUUGUCAUGCCAAUGGCACUGCCCGGUAGCUAAAUGCGGAAGAGAUAAGUGCUGAAAGCAUCUAAGCACGAAACUUGCCCCGAGAUGAGUUCUCCCUGAGACUUUAAGUCUCCUGAAGGAACGUUAAAGACGAUGACGUUGAUAGGCCGGGUGUGUAAGCGCAGCGAUGCGUUGAGCUAACCGGUACUAAUGAACCGUGAGGCUUAACCUUACAACGCCGAAG
rnacentral:rRNA from 1 species